UGGGGAAUUUUGCACAAUGGGCGCAAGCCUGAUGCAGCCAUGCCGCGUGUGUGAAGAAGGCCUUCGGGUUGUAAAGCACUUUCAGCGGGGAGGAAGGCGAUAAGGUUAAUAACCUUGUCGAUUGACGUUACCCGCAGAAGAAGCACCGGCUAACUCCGUGCCAGCAGCCGCGGUAAUACGGAGGGUGCAAGCGUUAAUCGGAAUUACUGGGCGUAAAGCGCACGCAGGCGGUAUGUCAAGUCGGAUGUGAAAUCCCCGGGCUCAACCUGGGAACUGCAUUCGAAACUGGCAGGCUAGAGUCUUGUAGAGGGGGGUAGAAUUCCUGGUGUAGCGGUGAAAUGCGUAGAGAUCUGGAGGAAUACCGGUGGCGAAGGCGGCCCCCUGGACAAAGACUGACGCUCAGGUGCGAAAGCGAGGGGAGCAAACAGG
rnacentral:rRNA from 1 species